UACGUAGGGGGCAAGCGUUGUCCGGAAUCAUUGGGCGUAAAGAGCGUGUAGGCGGCCAGAUAAGUCCGCUGUGAAAUCUCGAGGCUCAACUUCGAGAUGUCGGUGGAAACUGUCUGGCUAGAGUCCGGAAGAGGAGAAUGGAAUUCCUGGUGUAGCGGUGAAAUGCGCAGAUAUCAGGAGGAACACCGGUGGCGAAGGCGGGUCUCUGGGCAGUAACUGACGCUGAGGAGCGAAAGCGUGGGGAGCGAACAGG
rnacentral:rRNA from 1 species